GACCAGGGCCAUACUACCCUGAACACACCUUAUUUCGUCUGAUCUUUGAAGCUAAGUAGUGUCAGGUCUGGAUAGUACUUGGAUGGGAGACUGCCUGGGAAUACCAGGUACUGUAGGCU
ensembl:rRNA 5S_rRNA 5S ribosomal RNA